GAAGGUGGCAAGCGUUGUUCGGAUUCACUGGGCAUAAAGGGCGCGUAGGCGGUUCCGAAAGUGGCAUGUGAAAUCCUCUGGCUCAACCAGAGAAGUGCGUGCCAAACUUCGGUUCUAGAGGAUGGUAGGGGGGACUGGAACUCUCGGUGGAGCGGUGAAAUGCGUAGAUAUCGAGAGGAACACCGGUGGCGAAGGCGAGUCCCUGGUCCAUCACUGACGCUGAGGCGCGAAAGCGUGGGUAGCAAACAGGAUUAGAUACCCUGGUAGUCCACGCCGUAAACGAUGAAACACUAGGUAGCGGCCGGAUCCGACCGGUCGCUGCUGACGGAAAUCCAUUAAGUGUUCCGCCUGGGGAGUAUGGUCGCAAGGCUG
rnacentral:rRNA from 1 species